CUUUUCCUAAUAGAGUGAUUUAAGCCUUCAUUUUUAGACAUCUAAGCCCUUGGUGAUCAUCAGCAUAAAAUGUGACAAAUUAAACAAAAGCAAGACAGCACAUCAGAGAACAACUCUGAGGUGGAAUGAUUGGGAACCAAUGAAUAGUUGUUCAGUAAAUGGUUUAUAUUUUACAGAUGAUGAAACUGAAACACAAAAAAUUUAGAUUAACUCUUAGGUGACAAAGCCAGGAUUGAAGCUCAUGCGGUCUGGCUCCAGAACAACUCUUCUUCAUAGUUACGUUAUACUGCCCCUGCAUUGUUGGUAUUGAAAAUAACUGAUACCGUGCUUCCAGAAGAUUUUUCUAACAGUGUUUGCAAGCUAUAAAAUAGUGCUUUCACUUAGAAAAGGCUAGACGUGGUGGUUCAUGCCUGUAAUCCCAGCACUUUGAGAGGCCGAGGCACCAUGCUGGGAGAUAAGGAUCCAACAUAAGACAAACAGUGCUGAUGCUUUUGGAAAGCUCAUAUUCAAGCUGGGGAGACAAACAACAUACAAGAGGGCUCUGAGAGAUUUCAUUUCUGUCCUGCUGAUGAAGUCUACGUUCAUUCAGGGCCUGCUGUGGAAGACCAGCCCCAAAGUUGCUGAACAGAAGACUUUUGAGAGUCAGCAGAAAUCUUCCACUUUGCAUGGUUCUCUUGAUGUGAAAUCAUCUAUAUAGCCCCAGAAUUGGAAAAG
rnacentral:lncRNA from 1 species